rnacentral:rRNA from 1 species
UACGUAGGCAGCAAGCGUUGUUCGGAGUUACUGGCGUAAAGGGUGCGUAGGCGGCCCUGUAAGUAUGGUGUGAAAUCUCCCGGCUUAACUGGGAGGGUGCGCUAUAGACUGCGGGGCUCGAGUGUGGGAGAGGAAAGUGGAAUUCCUGGUGUAGCGGUGAAAUGCGUAGAUAUCAGGAGGAACACCGGUGGUGUAAACGGCUUUCUGGACCAUAACUGACGCUGAGGCACGAAAGCGUGGGUAGCAAACAGG